rnacentral:rRNA from 1 species
CAACGUGGGUAACCUGCCCAUCAGAAGGGGAUAACACUUGGAAACAGGUGCUAAUACCGUAUAACACUAUUUUCCGCAUGGAAGAAAGUUGAAAGGCGCUUUUGCGUCACUGAUGGAUGGACCCGCGGUGCAUUAGCUAGUUGGUGAGGUAACGGCUCACCAAGGCAACGAUGCAUAGCCGACCUGAGAGGGUGAUCGGCCACACUGGGACUGAGACACGGCCCAG